CCUGGAGGGUGGGUGGGGCAGAGAUGGCUGACCCCCUGCACCUGCACCAGCCCUGGCUGCCCCUAACUCUCCUCACCACCGAGGCCUGCAGUCUCCCUGCUGAGCCCAGUUCCCUGAUGCUUCAGUUGUCCUGUCCUCAAUACUCACCUUCCCCAUAUAUCUCUGAGGAUGUGACUCUAAAUCUUCACCAUGGGACCAUCGCAGUGGUAAAUGCAGUGUGCUAGGCCCUGUACUAGUUUCUUUACACACAUCCCACUCCCACAGCAAUGGAGACAGCACCCUAAUUUUGUGGUGAGAAAAUGGAGGCUCAGGACGGGAAUGUGACAUCUCCAAGGUUACACAGGUAUUCAGUGGCACAGCCUGGACACAAGCUCAGGGCUGAGGAACCACUCACUGUAGUGUCAGAGCUCCCUUCCUGGCUUCCUUCCACUCCUCCAUGUUCUCGUUUCCAUCCUCUCAAGCGGCAGCCUAGUAGGAUGGAAGGAGCAGCAGUUUCAGAGUUGAAUGAAAAGUUCAAGUUCAAAUACUGACCUUCUCCAGCUACAGCACUUUAGGCAAGCCAAGCACUGAGGUCUCAGCACAAUGCAGAGGUGACUCCUGCCUUUCCAGGCGGUCAUGAAGAUUAAGCGGCACUGGGUCCUACACCAUCUCCCCUCUUCACUGCCUCCUCCUGCCCCUAAAUGUUGGUGUGGUGCAGGGUUUCAUUCUCCUCCCUUUACUUGACCUGUCUGCUCUUCCUGGGCAAUAUAGUAAAAUAUACUACAAGCCUUUAGUUUGCACCCUUGUGGUAAUGAGAUUCAAGUCUCCAGUCCUGAUCGUCUUCCAUGAGUCCUAAACCCUACUCCAAUGCUCACUGGAACCUCUGUGUCUCCCAGGGUGUCUUAUAGACUCUUCAAGCUUAAGGUCAACACUGAACUCCUUUUCUCUGUUCCCACCACCUGACCAAGCCUGCUCCUCUCCCUACCUCAGAUGCUGUCCUCCCUACUUAUCCUGUCCCCUCCUCUCCUGUAUCUUUCUCACCCUCCAUAUCCAGUUCGGUCACCAAGUUCUCGAACAUUCCUCAAACAUGGCUAUUCCGCUCCGCUCCCUUUGCUGCUGCCCUAGUUCAGGUCAUCACUUCUUGCCUGAACUCUGGCAAUGGCCUCUUCACCUGUCUCUCCCUGACUCCAGUUCUUCCCCAAAUCCAGUCCCUCCUCAGCCAGGUAGUCUCCUAAAGGCUCGACCUGCCCCAUGACACUGGUGGCUCUCUGUGGCCUGCAGGAUAAAGCCUGAGUCUGGCAUUUAAGCCAAGUCCUUCCAACUGGCUCUGCCCCAGCGUUCCAGUCUUAACCCCCAGUGCUCCUUGCCACCACACCCCUGCCAACCCCUACACAUGCCCCGUACAGUCUAGCCACGCCAGGGUAUGCACUGUUCCCUGGUCUUGACCUGCCUUCCUCUCCCUUGCAGAAUACUCUUCGACCUCCAAAGCCCAGCUCAAAUAUCAUCCCCUUGGUUAAACAGUGUCCAAUUCUCUGAGGCAGAGUUAAUAGCUCACUGUGCUCACUUCCCACAGAGGUCCUCUGCCCUGGCCUCCAUGACGGUUCUGAUCACAGAGAGAGGAACCUGGCCAAGCAGCAGGAGCUCGGGCUUUCCGGUCAAGCAGACCACACUUCAUAGUUCCAGUCCAUCACUUACUGGCAGUUUUAUUUUGGGAAAAUGACUUACCCACUCACAGUUUCCAUUUGUUUUACUUUUUUUUUUUUUUUUUUUUUGGUGAUGGAGUCUUGCUCCUGUUGCCCAGGCUGGAGUGCAGUGGCCUAAUCUCAGCUCACUGCAACCUCUCCCUCCUGGGUUCAAGUGAUUCUUCUGCCUCAGCCUCCCAAGUAGCUGGGAUUACAGGUACCUGCCACCAUGUGUGGCUAAUUUUUGUAUUUUUUUUUUUAGUAGAGAUGGGGUUUCACCAUGUUGGCUGGUCUCAAACUCCUGACCUCAGGUGAUCCACCUCCCUCGGCCUCCUAAAGUGCUGGGAUUACAGGCGUGAGCCACCAUGCCCAACCUUGUUUCACUUUUAACAGGGAUAAUGAUUCCUGCCUUGGAGACAUGGUGGUUACGGGGUUCAGAAAUCACAUAUAUACAUAGCACCAAGUCUCCUGGUGUGAAAGUUAAGAAUCACAGACUGCCUUGGUUCAAGUCCUGGCUCUAUGAUUUAUACUAGCUGUGUGGCUUUGGCAUGGUACUUUGUGCCUCAGUUUCCCUCUUUGUAAAAAAGGAAAAAUGCUAGUGCUAUUCACAGGAUUGCUGUGUAGAUUAAAUGAAAUCAUACACAUUUAGUGCUUAGAAUAGUGCUUGAUUUAUAUGUGCCCUCUCUGACUAGCUCAUUGUCCCAUUUGCUUGUGUCAUGUGACAGAGAUCAUUCACUGGGUAUCAGACACUGUGCAAACACCUGUGCACAGUGUCUGAUACCCAGUAAACAAGAAAUAUUUGUUGAAUGAAGAGCAAGCAUAGCACAGAGGAGAGAGUGGUCAGUGAGACACAAUUGUAGUUGGACAAGAGAACCUGGAGUGGGAGGGAUUCUGUGGGGUUAUGGGCUGAGCCAGUGGGAGCAGACAAGAGCCUGUGAAUCCCACCCUAAAUCGGUAGAGAGAAUGGGCAGUAGUUGGGAAGGGUAGGACAGCCAUGUCUCCAAGAUAGGAGUGCCAGAUCCUUUUCUCUGCUCCCACCACCCCACCAAGCCUGCCCCUCUCCCUACCUCAGAUGCUGUCCUCUCUACUCAUCCUGUCCCCUCCUUUCCUGUAUCUUCCUCACCUUCCAUAUCCAGUUCGGUCACCAAGUUCUCGAACAUUCCUCAAACAUGGCUAUUCCGCUCCGCUCCCUUUGCUGCUGCCCUAGUUCAGGUCAUCACUUCUUGCCUGAACUCUGGCAAUGGCCUCUUCACCUGUCUCUCCCUGACUCCAGUUCUUCCUCAAAUCCAGUCCCUCCUCAACCAGGUAGUCUCCUAAAAGCUCGACCUGCCCUAUGACACUGGUGGCUCUCUGUGGCCUGCAGGAUAAAGCCUGAGUCUGGCAUUUAAACCAAGUCCUUCCAACUGGCUCUGCCCCAGCGUUCCAGUCUUCACUAGUGUUCCAGUCUCAACCCCCAUUCUGAUUUGAUUGUGCUUCAAAUCAGAAUGGAAGGGUGCACAUGCAGAUGGGACAAUGAGAUGUGCCAGGGAGGCAGAGGAGGAGGCAGAGGAGAGGCCAGGCAUCAAGGCACUGGCCUCUCUGAGCAACAGGGAUGAGGGGGAGUGCUCCAGACAGGGGUGGGCCUUUCCUUGCACAUGGACGCUUCUUCUCUGAGUCAGUGGGAAGGAGACCACCGUGGCCUAGGCCUCUUCAGGGUGGCAGCCACUGCAGCCUCUUGACCUCUGGUAUGAGGGAUGCUAGGAUGGUGGGGAGGAAGGGAGGCCAGUACCUUGAUGCCUGCGCUUCGGCACUUGCCCACAGCAUCUGGCACAGCAGCCCGGGGAGGGUCGAUCAUAGACAUGAGCCCCACAAAGCAGAGCUUCUCCGUGGGAAAGUUCAGCUCAUCCGUGUCGAAUUUGAAGCCCCGAGGAAACUUACCAGAGGGCAGAUUCAGUUGACAGAACCCUGAAAGGGGGCAGAAGGGAGCAGUGAGAACCACAGGGUGGCUUCCUAGACGCCCCCACAGUCCUUCACCCCAGGGAUGCCACGGAGGCUUGGGAAUCCCCUUCUGGGCUUCCUGUUUCUGGCCUCUUACCCAGCACACGCUCUCCCAGUCCCCCCAGCUCCAUGUAGGCAUUUUGAAAGGCGUCUUGCAUCUCCUUGUCAAGCGGGAUCUCCUUGCCCUGCACCAGGAUGGUGGAGCACCGGUCCAGGAUGCGCUCUGGGGCCCCCUUCAUCACCAGCACGUGGCUCUGGGGGCUGUCUUCUCGCUCAUGGAUGGACAGCUGGAGAGAUGACAGGCAGUUACAGGGAGGGCGAUGCUUGAGUUGGUAGCUCAGCAUAGAGCAGCAGCUGGUAAGAAACCGCCUUAGCAAAGUAGCCCCAACCCAUCAAAGAUUGUCAAUAAAAAGAAUCUCCUUGGGCAGGGGGGUGUUUGGACCUUAUAGUUCCAACUCUUGUAAACUGAGAGCCACCUCCAUAGGACAGUCAUUCAUUCAACAAAUGUUUAUUGAGGUCUGUUUAAGAAGGCACUGUGCUAGGGGCUGGACAGCUCCCUCCUCAGCGUCCCCACCACCACCUGGUUUCAGUCAGGGGCCUUUACCUCUAUAGAUGAUACAGAAUGCUGAGACUGCAAUCUUGGCACUCAACAGGUGCCUAAAGGCUAAGGGGCACCACAAGGGAAUUACAGAAUUAUGGUUUCACUGAAUGGAGUAUAAGAGUUGGAAGGCUAGGCCAGAGGGUGGGGAGCCAUGGGAAGGAGAGUUGAGAGAGUGACAGAUUGUAGUAAGGGAUGGAGUAAGGUUUGGGAGCUGGGGUUAGUUGCAGUCAGACAUGCAGUCACAUGAACUGUCCUGGGGGGCGUGGCAGUGGAGGCAACACCACCCUCAGGUGCCCUGGCUCCUCCUAGUGAUGAUUCCCUGUGGGUUUGCCCACCCCCUGCCUCCCAUUUCUAUCUCUCCCUUUUCCUCUGUCCUGGCAACCCAAGCAGACCUGGUACUUGUUGGUCGAGUUGAAAGGAAUCUCUGCCACCUUGGGGUUUCUGUCUCUCAUCUUUCUCACUGAACCACAGGACAGCUCAAUGCACUUGAGUAGAGCUGACUCGGAGGCGUCACCAGCUGUGUCCCGCUGCCAGAAGAGACAAGAAUUCAGUGUCAGUGUGGGAAAAAGGGAGCGGAGGAUCGGGUGAAGGGGGCACCGAAGCUCCCAAGGCAGCCACAGCAUGGGAGAGGGAAAGCUGGGUGCAGCCAGCCAGAGGCCUUUGGAGACACUCCCAAAACACACUUGUUGUGUAUGCCAACCCCCUACCUUAGACACAGAGAUGUUCUCCUGUCCUGCCUUGAAGACAGCACGGUUGCAGAGACCAGCAAUUCGGGACAGGGCCGUCCACGUGGGGGAUCGUUUGUCAAAAGUGGCCCCUGGGAGGAAACAAGUGAGAACCAGGAGAAUGGCUCCCUUUAGAGCCUUUAUCUCAACCCUCCCCCACCACGCCACUGCCCCCCGAGUCCUCUAAUCCUCUCCACCCGCUCUGGAGCACCCAAUCACCAGACUGGUCUUCGGUGGUGUCAGCCUCAUGGAUUUGGUUGUCGAACCACAUGUGGGCAACGGUCAUGCGGUUCUGGGUGAGGGUGCCCGUCUUGUCCGAGCAGAUGGUGGACGUGGAGCCCAGCGUCUCCACCGCCUCCAGGUUCUUCACUAGGCAGUUCUUCCGUGCCAUGCGCUUGGCGGUCAGGGUCAGGCACACCUGGAAGAGAAAGAGGAGAAUAAAAACACUUCAGACUGUAGCUAGAAAUGACCAUGACCUUACCCUAGACCAUGGCUCCAUUCCUUCUCCCCUGAUCCACCCCACUAGCUUGAAUGGGUGGGACUUAGCUGUAAAUGAGGAAUGUUCAAUGUUAGAUAUGUUGAGAUCAUGAGUAUCUAUCAAGAUGACAUGCUGGGUAGGGGGUUGAAGACAUUUGACUAGAACUCCAGAGAGGGUCACAGCAGAGCUGGGCAUAGGGAUGUGCGAGUCAUCCACACAGAAGGGGCACUGGAAAUGCAGAGGAGAUUGGCUUUUGCUCCGGGCGUAGGAAGAGCAGAGAGCUGAGGCCUGAGAAUCAGCAUGGGGGGUGCACAAGGGGACAGAGGAGAAGCAAACCAGGAUAGCGACAGAUCACAGCAGUUGACAAAAGAGAGAAUGCUAGGAGGGUGGACAGCAGUAUCUGUUUCAGUAGCGGGGUUAGGGAGGAGAGCUGAGAAAAGGUCACUGGAUUUGCUAGUUAGUGACUGCUGGCCUUUGGAAUGAGACCCAGAAUGCUGGCAGAUCAUGAGAAAAGGCAACCGUGACAAGCUCCAGAAGAGAAAUUGAGUGCCCAAGUAUAGCCCCACCUGAGAUUUCUCAUCUCCCGCUCUGAGCCACGUAUUGAGUGAUCUCUGAGUAUAGCAUCCAUUAUGUGAUUCUAGGGGAAAGAAGCACUGAGAAGCUAUAAGCAACUGUACCUCUAUCACUUUGAGGAAAGAGUAGUGAGACCCUCCCCUGGUGGCACCUCAGCCUGAUCCACUCACAGUGACAGUGGCCAGAAGCCCCUCAGGCACGUUGGCCACGAUGAUGCCGAUGAGAAAGAUGACUGCCUCCAGCCAGCUGUAGCCCAGGAUGAGGGAGAGCACGAAGAAGGAGACCCCCAGGAAAACAGCAACCCCUGUGAUCAGCUGGAUGAAGUGUUCAAUCUCCAUGGCUAUGGG